AUUGAACGCUGGCGGCAGGCUUAACACAUGCAAGUCGAGCGGAGAGAGGUAGCUUGCUACUGAUCUUAGCGGCGGACGGGUGAGUAAUGCUUAGGAAUCUGCCUAUUAGUGGGGGACAACAUUUCGAAAGGAAUGCUAAUACCGCAUACGUCCUACGGGAGAAAGCAGGGGAUCUUCGGACCUUGCGCUAAUAGAUGAGCCUAAGUCGGAUUAGCUAGUUGGUGGGGUAAAGGCCUACCAAGGCGACAAUCUGUAGCGGGUCUGAGAGGAUGAUCCGCCACACUGGGACUGAGACACGGACCAGACUCCUACGGGGGGCAGCAGUGGGGAAUAUUGGACAAUGGGCGCAAGCCUGAUCCAGCCAUGCCGCGUGUGUGAAGAAGGCCUUAUGGUUGUAAAGCACUUUAAGCGAGGAGGAGGCUACUUUAGAUAAUACCUAGAGAUAGUGGACGUUACUCGCAGAAUAAGCACCGGCUAACUCUGUGCCAGCCGCCGCCGUAA
rnacentral:rRNA from 1 species